UUAUUUGUUUUUAAUUUGUAUGCAGGAUCACAGCUGAAGCGACUCCACUCAACACAUCCUCAAGAUCCUUGUGGUCCAUGGUGCUGAUGGAGAGGAUCCUGUGGAUGUAUCCAGCCUUCUUUAAGGCAAAGAGACCUUCUCCAACUACAACAUUAAGGACGUGGUCGCUCCAGGACCGAGAUGUAGCAGUUGGACAUCUCAAACCAAUCAAGGCUGCGUGUCUCUCCAAACUGAAAUACCAACAGAUACAGUUAGCCCUCAAUUGGAAUCAAUUCUUCUAAACUACUGGAAUAUGGAUGAUAUAAUGGUAAUGAUUCAGAUAGGUUUUGGAAUAUUUUAGCAGAACCAAAUCAUCUGGUUCAUCAGAUGGAUGAU